rnacentral:rRNA from 1 species
UACGGGGGGGGCAAGCGUUGUUCGGAAUUACUGGGCGUAAAGGGCUCGUAGGCGGCCGACUAAGUCAGACGUGAAAUCCCUCGGCUUAACCGGGGAACUGCGUCUGAUACUGGACGGCUUGAGUUCGGGAGAGGGAUGCGGAAUUCCAGGUGUAGCGGUGAAAUGCGUAGAUAUCUGGAGGAACACCGGUGGCGAAGGCGGCAUCCUGGACCGACACUGACGCUGAUGAGCGAAAGCCAGGGGAGCAAACGGG